GCUGGGCACAGUGGCACACACCUGUAGUUCCAGCUACUCAGGAGGCUAAUGCGGGAGGAUGGCUUGAGCCCAGGAGCUCUUGGCUGCAGUGCGCUAUGCCGAUCAGGUGUCCGCACUAAAUUCUGCAUCAAUAUGGUGACCUCCCAGGAGUGGGGGACCACCAGGUUGCCUAAGGAGAGGCAAAUUGGCCCAGGUUGGAAACAGAGCAGGUCAAAACUCCCGUGCUGAUCAGUAGUGGGAUGGCACCUGGGUGUAGUCACUGCACUCCAGCCCGGUGAAGAUGAUUCUCAUA
rnacentral:SRP_RNA from 1 species